rnacentral:rRNA from 1 species
AACACGUGGGGAACCUGCCCCAUAGUCUGGGAUACCACUUGGAAACAGGUGCUAAUACCGGAUAAGAAAGCGGAUCGCAUGAUCAGCUUUUAAAGGCGGCGUAAGCUGUCGCUAUGGGAUGGCCCCGCGGUGCAUUAGCUAGUUGGUAAGGUAAAGGCUUACCAAGGCGAUGAUGCAUAGCCGAGUUGAGAGACUGAUCGGCCACAUUGGGACUGAGACACGGCCCAAACUCCUACGGGAGGCAGCAGCC